rnacentral:rRNA from 1 species
GGCCNACCCAUGGUGGUAACGGGUAACGGGGUGUUAGGGCACGACACCGGAGAGGGAGCCUGAGAAACGGCUACCACAUCCAAGGAUGGCAGCAGGCGCGCAAAUUACCCAAUCCCGACACGGGGAGGUAGUGACAAUAAAUAACAAUACGGGGUUCUUUAGGAUCUCGUAAUUGGAAUGAGUACAAUUUAAAUCUCUUAACGAGGAACAAUUGGAGGGCAAGUCUGGUGCCAGCAGCCGCGGUAAUUCCAGCUCCAAUAGCGUAUAUUAAAGUUGUUGCAGUUAAAAAGCUCGUAGUUGAAUUUCGGGGUUAGUAGGUUGGUCAUGCCUCUGGUAUGUACUGGUCUCACUGAUUCCUCCUUCCUGAUGAACCGUAAUGCCAUUAAUUUGGUGUUGCGGGGAAUUUGGACUGUUACUUUGAAAAAAUUAGAGUGUUUAAAGCAAGCUAACGCUUGAAUACAUUAGCAUGGAAUAAUGAAAUAGGACGUUCGAUCCUAUUUUGUUGGUUUCUAGGAUUGACGUAAUGAUUAAUAGGGAUAGUUGGGGGCAUUAGUAUUCAAUUGUCAGAGGUGAAAUUCUUGGAUUUAUUGAAGACUAACUACUGCGAAAGCAUUUGCCAAGGAUGUUUUCAUUAAUCAAGAACGAAAGUUAGGGGAUCGAAGACGAUCAGAUACCGUCGUAGUCUUAACCAUAAACUAUGCCGACUAGGGAUCGGAUGAUGUUAAUUUUCUAAUGACUCAUUCGGCGCCUUACG